rnacentral:lncRNA from 1 species
AUAUAUCAAUUUCUACGACUGAAUAUUAAUUUACAUCUCAAAUAAUAGUUGGGCAACAUUUCACAUCUGUUAGAAAAUCAGAGAAGAUCAGCGAAAAUUGUACAGCAUGCAUUCAUUAAUUUUCUAGUGGUGCCCAAAAACAAUUGAUUAGGUGGGCCUAAUCCAACCAACACGGCGUGACACAAUUGCAGACUACUGCCCAUUGUCAAUAUCACCAUCUCCCUCCUAUUUUCCGCCCUUUCUCCUGUUAUUAAUUGGUUCCAUCGGCUAAUCCAUGCAGGUGGUCGUGCAUGUGUGUUCUCCUCAGCCUGCUUUCGACACAACACAUGUAAAUUAAUACCCGGCAAAUACAACACUAUCUGUCGGCAUUGCGCUAUUUUUCUUAUACCAGGCAAAUACAACACUAAUUUUAUCAAGUACAGAAGGACCAGAGUAUUUUCGUUUCAGAGGAACACUGCAAAAAUAUGCUUUGUUGAAGCAUCUACCAGUUGCAUGGCUUCAUCAAAAUUUGAACUUGCAUGGUUCAACAAAAUCAAACAGUGAACUCUCAUGAAUAUUAUUUCAGAGGGCGAUGAUGCUCUAUCAUUGGGAUCAGGACCUCACAUCUUAAUGAAAGGAAGCAGUUAAUAAUCAAGUCUAAAAUCUGAGUGAGACUUAAGCAGUCAAGCCCAUUGCAGCACCAUGUCUGAUAGAAAAACACUAACAACGUCUAAUAACUAACAAAGAGUGACUUGACCCAUAUAUAUGUCUGCAAAUGCAGGUCACAUAUUACUACACAAGAAAACAUAUGAGGUUGCUGCUGCUUCUUCACAUAAACGAUCAUAAAUAAGAUGAGAAGGCAGACACCGCAAGCAGGAAGGCAAGACCUUCCAGCACAACUGUGAUUUCUUCAACAGUGACGGUAGUAGCAGUGUCCCUGGGGACGUACCUGCAGUCACCCAUAUUGUACUCCUUCUGUGGACAAGAGAACAUACUUGUGUGAAGUUUGGGACUGCCAACGUCAAAAAUGAAGAAUGAAACUUGAGAUCUUUGCCUGUUUCAAGUAACAGCAUGUGGUUCUUUUCUUUGAUAAGAAAUCAGAUGAUACAAGGAAAUAAAAUAAAAAGUAACACUUCUGUUGUAUGUUUUGUAGCAUAUCUAUAUGAAAUGCAUGAGAUUAACGAAGAUGCAAGAUGACAAGACUCACCUGCUCAUUGUGGCCAAGGCUAUUCCGUGUUCCAUCCCUUAACAUUGAAUGCACUUGAACAAUCCUUAGGAAUCCAUGUCUCAUCAUGCAUUCCAAAGAACCUGGAUAGAGCAACUGAUUGUGAACCAAACUGAUUUAUAAGAAAGAUGUUACAAAAGAUCAAUCUACUGUCUAUUGAAUACUGAUUUCUUUCUUUGUGAUCCUUGCAACAACAAAAAUCUUGACUCUACUCGUCAUCAUAGUAUAGCUUGGUCAGAGGCUACUUCCCCAACCAUCAUUAGAAACUAAACCAUCUGGGUAUGAUGAAAUCAAGGGUCCUUCUAACAUGACAUUGUGUGAUGUUUUGCACCAGAGAACAAAAUAAAAUUUGCUGUGGCGAAAUCAGUAGCAUAGAAGCAAUAAGGAAAAAAACAAAAAUACAAGUAAUAUGUACAGUAAUAAAGUAUGUGAUGCAAAAUGCAGUAAACAAUUACAGUCCCAUGUAGUUAUACCAGAUGAAAGAAGGAUAUAAAAAAAUAGAUCACCAAAUGAAGCUCACACAGCUAUUUGCCACCAAUUUAUCAGACAACAUUGUACAUGAAUCUGCAAUACUUACAUACAGUAGAUCAGUAGUGCUACUUUUUUUAGAUGAAUAGUGCAACAUUUAAUUAGUUGAUAUAUGAAACGUAAUUAUAUAACUGAUGCCACUAACUACAUCGAGAGGUCCAGACAGUUACUAUGUUCUCACUUCCGCGGAUACUUCAGUUCGAGUGGAUGUCGACAUGAAACUGCAUUGCCAUGUCCGCCAACAUAUUCUUUCAUAAAGUAUCAAUCAAAACUGGAAAUUAGUGUAUUGCAAUUGCCACUUCCGAUGUUCAGGUUCAAUUCAUCAUACAAUUAUGGAAUAUUAACACUGGAAUAAAAUAUGACUAUGCAACACUUCCUUUCCUCUCGGAUGUAAAUAUGAAGAUCGAAAUCCGGAAUUUCCGAGUGAACCUGCACGUGCAUUCUCACAGAACCCGAACGACCACUUCUCCUCUCCUCGCCAUAAACCUUCACACAACACAUCAGAAAAUAAGAAUUAGAACAUCUGAAAAAAAAGUGCCAAGCAAAUAGGCAGAAGUACAGAAAAAUUUACCAUGGCGGAGCUCGUCAUCUGGUGGCCACGUCAUCUCCGACAUGCUAGAGUUGGCGACGACGCCAUCUGCUAUUUUCCUCGUGCGGGAAGGGCACGGAGACGUUGACAACAGUGACCGCCCCGCCGGACCAUGAAGGGCAUGGUCUUCAUGGAGAAGAACUGGGACGUUCAGAGGAGGCGAGGCCGGGGUCUCCCAUUGGUGCACGAGUCACGGGAAUGGAAUGAUGACCGGCCAGAGAUGAGCGUAGGCCGGAAAGAACGCAAAAUCGGGGAGGAAGAAGGCCAAAUCAGGAUGGAUACACCGCCUCCCGCCCGAGAUCACGCAGAACAUGAGAAAGGGUAGAGGGCCUCGCACGCAGAAUCCACCUCACCUCUAAUCUAGCCGGUCCUCGAUGUCUCUUGCUCGACGGCUGGCCUCCCCAUGCGAAUCUUGUGCCGUUGGUGGCGUGGCUGCUAUGCAUUGGAGGUGGCGGUGGCACGACGCCGUUGCUUCGUCCCCUCGGUUGUACGUCUGCCACCAGCUCCACGCGGAGAGAAGAUCGGGGUUGGAAGCAGCGUGGGUAGGGUAGAUCGGGGUUGGAAGCAGCCUGGUGAGAUACGC